GACGAACGCUGGCGGCGUGCCUAAUACAUGCAAGUAGAACGCUGAAGGAGGAGCUUGCUUCUCUGGAUGAGUUGCGAACGGGUGAGUAACGCGUAGGUAACCUGCCUGGUAGCGGGGGGUAACUAUUGGAAACGAUAGCUAAUACCGCAUAAUAGUAGAUGUUGCAUGACAUUUGCUUAAAAGGUGCAAUUGCAUCACUACCAGAUGGACCUGCGUUGUAUUAGCUAGUUGGUGGGGUAACGGCUCACCAAGGCGACGAUACAUAGCCGACCUGAGAGGGUGAUCGGCCACACUGGGACUGAGACACGGCCCAGACUCCUACGGGAGGCAGCAGUAGGGAAUCUUCGGCAAUGGACGGAAGUCUGACCGAGCAACGCCGCGUGAGUGAAGAAGGUUUUCGGAUCGUAAAGCUCUGUUGUAAGAGAAGAACGAGUGUGAGAGUGGAAAGUUCACACUGUGACGGUAUCUUACCAGAAAGGGACGGCUAACUACGUGCCAGCAGCCGCGGUAAUACGUAGGUCCCGAGCGUUGUCCGGAUUUAUUGGGCGUAAAGCGAGCGCAGGCGGUUAGAUAAGUCUGAAGUUAAAGGCUGUGGCUUAACCAUAGUACGCUUUGGAAACUGUUUAACUUGAGUGCAAGAGGGGAGAGUGGAAUUCCAUGUGUAGCGGUGAAAUGCGUAGAUAUAUGGAGGAACACCGGUGGCGAAAGCGGCUCUCUGGCUUGUAACUGACGCCGAGGCUCGAAAGCGUGGGGAGCAAACAGG
rnacentral:rRNA from 1 species